AAUGACCACCAGUGGGUUGGUUUUCGUCAUAAAUGAAUUGACUGACAUUGGAUCUUCCACACCUCAAUCUUCAGUCAGCUUAGAUACAGAUACACUGUCUCUAACUUCAAAAAGCAGUGAAGAGAGUGACUGGUUUAGUCCAAAACGAUUCAGAAAGGAUGAUGAUGAUGAGGCGUCACAAAGAUCACAGGCCAGAGAUCUGAUAAAACAAAUUCUACAGACAAGACCAGGUGGAGGAAAUGUGCUUAAGGAGUAUGAAGAUACAGGGACAAUUAGUGAUGACACGAGGAAAGUGAUGGUGAACAUCUUAGUUGCACACAUGAUGGAGACA